GUCAGGAUGGUGUAGUGGCUUGAGCAUUGGACUAGGACUCUGGAGACCAGGUUUCAAGUCCUGGUUCAGCCA